rnacentral:rRNA from 1 species
CCUACGGGUGGCAGCAGUGGGGAAUAUUGCACAAUGGGGGGAACCCUGAUGCAGCGACGCCGCGUGAGCGAGGAAGUAUUUCGGUAUGUAAAGCUCUAUCAGCAGGGACGAAAAAAGACGGUACCUGACUAAGAAGCCCCGGCUAACUACGUGCCAGCAGCCGCGGUAAUACGUAGGGGGCAAGCGUUAUCCGGAUUUACUGGGUGUAAAGGGGGCGCAGACGGCAGCGCAAGCCAGGAGUGAAAGCCCGGGGCCCAACCCCGGGACUGCUCUUGGAACUGCGCGGCUGGAGUGCAGGAGGGGCAGGCGGAAUUCCUGGUGUAGCGGUGAAAUGCGUAGAUAUCAGGAGGAACACCGGUGGCGAAGGCGGCCUGCUGGACUGCAACUGACACUGAGGCUCGAAAGUGUGGGUAUCAAACAGGAUUAGAUACCCGAGUAGUC